rnacentral:lncRNA from 1 species
CCUCCCUUCCUACUGACCUCCGGCUCCGGCGCACGAGCCAGGGCGUCUCCAGCUCCGGCGCACGAGCUCCGGCGCUCGACCCAGGCAGUCUACCUCUCUCCUCCAGACUCGGGCCGCCCACCACAGCGUCGUCACCAGAGGAAUCGACCUCGACGACUCGGUCCAGAUCGGAGUCGACCUCGACGACUGGCUGGUCCUAAUCCAGAUCGGAAGAAUGCUGAACCUGAAGGAAGUGAAUCGGAGAUUGGGGAUGUUGACCAGGCUCCUUCACCUCCUCCAGCCACCACUUCUCCGCAGAUCACAGAGCCGAAUUCGAAGUCGAUGACUUCUCUGCCAACGAUGACGGCGGUUCCACUCCUAAGUCCUCCUCCGCCGCGGCGAUUCAUCGAACACCUCGAGCUACAGGUCCACCGGUAGCCUCCGGGAGCUCGAUCUCAUCCCCUCUGAUGUGGUGAGGACGAUGAUCUCGGGUUCUGAUUCCCUGGCCAGCCGCCUCAUGCGCUGUCUUCUUACUCCAACAAUAGCGCCAAUAACGGCGGCAGUGGUCUUCCGGCGUUUUCCACGACUCGACCUACUAGAUCUUCGUCUCCGGCGGUAAUUUUCGAACCUA